rnacentral:tRNA from 1 species
CCUUGUUUGGCAGAAAAAUGCACCAGGUUUAGGACCAGCUCAUACGGCAGUCCGUAACAAGGG